CCAUAGAGACCCAUAGGGACCCAGAGAGACCCAGAGAGACCCAGAGAGACCCAGAGAGACCCAUAGGGACCCAUAGAGACCCAUAGAGACACAUAGGGACCCAUAGAGACCCAUAGGAACCCAUAGAGACACAUAGGGACCCAUAGAGACCCAUAGGGACCCAUAGGGACCCAUAGAGACCCAUAGAGACCCAUAGGGAACCAUAGAGACCCAUAGAGACACAUAGGGACCCAUAGAGCCCCACAGUGCCCCAUUGACACCACAUAUCCCCCAUAGACGCCCCAUAGUGCCCCAUAGAGCCCCAUAGCACCCCAUAGACACCCCAUAGAGCCCCAUAGACACCCUAUACAGCCCCAUAGACACCCCAUAUCCCCCCAUAGGCACCCCAUAGUGCCCCAUAGACACACCAUAUCCUCCCACAGAGCCCCAUAGACACCCCAUAUCCCCCCAUAGAGCCCCAUAGACACCCCACAGACACCCCAUAGAGCUUCAUAGAGCCCCAUAUCCCCCAUAGACACCCCAUAGAGCCCCAUAGACACCCCAUAGAGCCCCAUAGUGCCCCACAGACACCCCAUAGAGCCCUAUAGACACCCCAUAGAUCCCCAUAAAUCUGCACAGUGCCCCAUUGACACCAAAUAUCCCCCAUAGACACCCCAUAGAGCCCCAUAUCCCCCAUAGAGCCCCAUAGUGCCCCACUGACACCACAUAUCCCCCAUAGACACCCCAUAGCGCCCCAUAGACACCCCAUAGCGCCCCAUAGAGACCCACUGACACCACAUAUCCCCCAUAGACACCCCAUAGAACCCCAUAGACACCCCAUAGAAACACACAGAGACCCAUACACACCCCAUAGCGCCCCACAAACACCCCAUAGAGCCCCAUAGACACAUAGAGACCCAUAGACACCCCAUAUCCCCCCAUAGACACCCCAUAGAGCCCCAUAGUGCCCCAUAGACACCCCAUAGAGCCCCAUAGACACAUAGAGACCCAUAGACACCCCAUAUCCCCCCAUAGACACCCCACAGA
rnacentral:lncRNA from 1 species